rnacentral:rRNA from 1 species
GUACACUCUACGGGAGGCAGCAGUGGGGAAUAUUGGACAAUGGGCGCAAGCCUGAUCCAGCCAUGCCGCGUGAGUGAUGAAGGCCCUAGGGUUGUAAAGCUCUUUCACCGGUGAAGAUAAUGACGGUAACCGGAGAAGAAGCCCCGGCUAACUUCGUGCCAGCAGCCGCGGUAAUACGAAGGGGGCUAGCGUUGUUCGGAUUUACUGGGCGUAAAGCGCACGUAGGCGGACUAUUAAGUCAGGGGUGAAAUCCCGGGGCUCAACCCCGGAACUGCCUUUGAUACUGGUAGUCUUGAGUUCGAGAGAGGUGAGUGGAAUUCCGAGUGUAGAGGUGAAAUUCGUAGAUAUUCGGAGGAACACCAGUGGCGAAGGCGGCUCACUGGCUCGAUACUGACGCUGAGGUGCGAAAGCGUGGGGAGCAAACAGGAUUAGAAACCCGAGUAGUCC